UUGCUGGAUGCUGACGAGCGGCGGACGGGUGAGUAAUGCAUAGGAAUCUGCCCGAUAGUGGGGGAUAACCUGGGGAAACCCAGGCUAAUACCGCAUACGUCCUACGGGAGAAAGGGGGCUUCGGCUCCCGCUAUCGGAUGAGCCUAUGUCGGAUUAGCUAGUUGGUGAGGUAACGGCUCACCAAGGCAACGAUCCGUAGCUGGUCUGAGAGGAUGAUCAGCCACAUCGGGACUGAGACACGGCCCGAACUCCUACGGGAGGCAGCAGUGGGGAAUAUUGGACAAUGGGGGCAACCCUGAUCCAGCCAUGCCGCGUGUGUGAAGAAGGCCCUCGGGUUGUAAAGCACUUUCAGCGAGGAAGAACGCCUAGCGGUUAAUACCCGCUAGGAAAGACAUCACUCGCAGAAGAAGCACCGGCUAACUCCGUGCCAGCAGCCGCGGUAAUACGGAGGGUGCAAGCGUUAAUCGGAAUUACUGGGCGUAAAGCGCGCGUAGGUGGCUUGAUAAGCCGGUUGUGAAAGCCCCGGGCUCAACCUGGGAACGGCAUCCGGAACUGUCAAGCUAGAGUGCAGGAGAGGAAGGUAGAAUUCCCGGUGUAGCG
rnacentral:rRNA from 1 species